rnacentral:rRNA from 1 species
UACGAAGGGUGCAAGCGUUAAUCGGAAUUACUGGGCGUAAAGCGCGCGUAGGUGGUUCGUUAAGUUGGAUGUGAAAGCCCCGGGCUCAACCUGGGAACUGCAUCCAAAACUGGCGAGCUAGAGUACGGUAGAGGGUGGUGGAAUUUCCUGUGUAGCGGUGAAAUGCGUAGAUAUAGGAAGGAACACCAGUGGCGAAGGCGACCACCUGGACUGAUACUGACACUGCGCUGCGAAAUCGCGGGGUGCAAACA